rnacentral:tRNA from 1 species
AGCAUGGUGUAGUAGUGGUUUGAGUGUUAGACUAGGACUCUGGGAGACCAGGGUUCAAAUCCCUGCUCAGCCA